rnacentral:rRNA from 1 species
UUGACCUCGGAUCAGGUAGGGAUACCCGCUGAACUUAAGCAUAUCAAUAAGCGGAGGAAAAGAAACCAACCGGGAUUGCCUCAGUAACGGCGAGUGAAGCGGCAAGAGCUCAAAUUUGAAAGCUGGCUCCUUCGGAGUCCGCAUUGUAAUUUGCAGAGGAUGCUUUGGGUGCGGCCCCCGUCUAAGUGCCCUGGAACGGGCCGUCAGAGAGGGUGAGAAUCCCGUCUUGGGCGGGGUGUCCGUGCCCGUGUAAAGCUCCUUCGACGAGUCGAGUUGUUUGGGAAUGCAGCUCUAAAUGGGUGGUAAAUUUCAUCUAAAGCUAAAUACUGGCCGGAGACCGAUAGCGCACAAGUAGAGUGAUCGAAAGAUGAAAAGCACUUUGAAAAGAGAGUUAAACAGCACGUGAAAUUGUUGAAAGGGAAGCGCUUGCGACCAGACUCGCCCGCGGGGUUCAGCCGGCAUUCGUGCCGGUGUACUUCCCCGUGGGCGGGCCAGCGUCGGUUUGGGCGGCCGGUCAAAGGCCCCUGGAAUGUAGUGCCCUCCGGGGCACCUUAUAGCCAGGGGUGCAAUGCGGCCAGCCUGGACCGAGGAACGCGCUUCGGCACGGACGCUGGCAUAAUGGUCGUAAACGACC